UGAUAGCAGUGAUCUGCGAGGUUGCUGUCCUUGUGAGGCAGGUAAUUUGCAGGGAGCGAAUGUCAAGUUAGAAUCUGGCGACAA
rnacentral:ncRNA from 1 species